UGGCAUAGCCCUUGUUCUCGCAGCUGUCUGGUUAGGAUGGCCCAA
rnacentral:sRNA from 17 species